AGAGUUUGAUCCUGGCUCAGGACGAACGCUGGCGGCGUGCCUAAUACAUGCAAGUCGAACGGUCUUUUCUAUGGAAGCUUGCUUCCACUGAGAAGAUAGUGGCGAACGGGUGAGUAACACGUGGGUAACCUGCCCAUAAGAGGGGGAUAACAUCCGGAAACGGGUGCUAAUACCGCAUAGUUUUCUUGAUCGCAUGAUCGAGAAAGGAAAGACGGCCUUUGUGCUGUCGCUUAUGGAUGGACCCGCGGCGUAUUAGUUAGUUGGUGAGGUAAUGGCCCACCAAGACGAUGAUACGUAGCCGACCUGAGAGGGUGAUCGGCCACAUUGGGACUGAGACACGGCCCAAACUCCUACGGGAGGCAGCAGUAGGGAAUCUUCCGCAAUGGACGAAA
rnacentral:rRNA from 1 species